CAGUGAACAUGACUCCUAGUAGGAAAAGCAAGGAAGAACACUAAUAAAAAUAUGCUAAGAUAUUAUUGAUGGUUAACUCUAGAUGGUAAGAAUAUGUAUGAUAUGGGUGCCCUUGUUUACUUCUUUAAACAUUUUUAGUAUCUUUUCAAUUUUAGGAAAUAUAACUUUUAAAAUUAAGAGAGACAAACCAUGGUAGAACCUAUUAUUAGCAAAGUAUGGUAUUUAGAAGAAAAAAUAAUUGAAUAAAUUGUUUUCAUAAUGUGGAGUUAUGUGCUGCCUGUUAAGACAGCAAUCCCAAUAAUGUUUCCAUUCCUUUAGGAAACACAUUAUGAACCUUAUAAAAUCGGGUGGGAUUUUCCAUAGGGAUGAAAUUCAUUAGAGCAAUGUCUGCAUUCUAUGAAAACAUCUGGUGGUUUUGGUCAUUCUGUCUUGUGUUUUGGCCUAAUUUUCUACCACGUUGUAAGGCACAGUUUUAAGAAUAAUUCACACAUUUUUCCAUCUAGAGAUUUUUGACCAAAAAAAGUAUAUUUAUACUGAUGGACUAAACAAGUUGCAUUAUAAUUGUGACAGUUACAAACUUUUCUGAAACAUGUGUAUAGUUUUUUUUUUUUUUAAUUUUAAAAGUAGAUGUCACACCUAAAAUGGGUAGGUCCAUUUCAUUUUAUAAGGAAAGCACCCAGAAGGGUCCAUAUGUAUUUGUGCUCGAAAAGGAAGUAAUUGUGUGUGUCAUUUCCGCCCCCUUUUUAUCAAUAUUGCCUAAUAUCAAGGAGAAUCAGUAAUAAUAGAAUUAUUAAUAGCAGUAAUAGAAUCAGUAGAAUAAGAGUGGUAGAGUUAGUACUCAUCAGUGAAAAACUAAUCAACCUUAUUACUUUGAAGGGAAAUCUGGGAAGAAAGAGAAUAGAAUGAGGUACAUGUUAGAAAUGGAAAUGGCGAAGAGCUCUUUCUGAGAUGAAGAGAAUUCUCAAUGUCAAGAUUUGAACAAGAAGAGAAUGGAAUACACAAUAUGGACAUCCAUAAAAAUUCAUCAGAGAGCAUUUUACUACUGAGCUGCAAAGGGAAAAACUUAAAAUGGAUAUGAAAAGUGAAGAAAGUGAUCAUAGGAGAAAACCAUUUCAGAUGACAAGAGCACCUCAAAGGCAGCAGCCUCAAGGAGCAGCCAUGGCCCCAGACUUGUCGCACGGAUGCAGAAAACUUAAUGGAGGAGGCUGAGGUCAGAAUGGGAAGAGUUUUUAAAAAAUAAAAAGGGGAGCUAAUAUGUGAGGAACUGAUUGCUGUGCAUU
rnacentral:lncRNA from 1 species